GACGAACGCUGGUGGCGUGCUUAACACAUGCAAGUCAAGGGGGCCCGCAAGGGCAACCGGCGAACGGGUGCGUAACACGUGAGCAAGCUUCCGAUUUGUGGGGGAUAGCCGGCCCAACGGCCGGGUAAUACCGCAUACGUUCACUGGACGGCAUCGUCUGGUGAGGAAACCUCCGGGGCAAAUCGAGGCGCUCGCGGCCUAUCAGCUAGUUGGCGGGUAAUGGCCCACCAAGGCUACGACGGGUAGCUGGUCUGAGAGGAUGGCCAGCCACAUUGGGACUGCGACACGGCCCAGACUCCUACGGGAGGCAGCAGUGGGGAAUAUUGCGCAAUGGACGAAAGUCUGACGCAGCAACGCCGCGUGAGUGAUGAAGGCCCUCGGGUCGUAAAGCUCUGUCCUGGGAGAAGAAUUUUGACGGUAUCCCAGAAGAAAGCACCGGCUAACUCCGUG
rnacentral:rRNA from 1 species